CCUACGGGGGGCUGCAGUGGGGAAUUUUGGACAAUGGGCGAAAGCCUGAUCCAGCCAUGCCGCGUGAGUGAAGAAGGCCUUCGGGUUGUAAAGCUCUUUCGGCGGGGAAGAAAUCGCAUGGGUUAAUACCCUGUGUGGAUGACGGUACCCGAAUAAGAAGCACCGGCUAACUACGUGCCAGCAGCCGCGGUAAUACGUAGGGUGCGAGCGUUAAUCGGAAUUACUGGGCGGAAAUUGUAAGUCAGCGGUUAAAUCCCCGGGCUCAACCUGGGAACUGCAUUUGAGACUGCAAGGCUAGAGUGUGGCAGAGGGGGGUGGAAUUCCACGUGUAGCAGUGAAAUGCGUAGAGAUGUGGAGGAACACCGAUGGCGAAGGCAACCCCCUGGGCCAAUACUGACGCUCAUGCACGAAAGCGUGGGGAGCAAACAGGAUUAGAUAACCGUGUAGUC
rnacentral:rRNA from 1 species